rnacentral:misc_RNA from 1 species
GAUACUGUAAAUUGAGGAGUAGAGCUGGAUCCAUGCUGGUUUUGUGUAUUAUCUCGAAUUAUUUUUGAAUUGUUUUAGUCAUUGCAUGGCAGGACGACGGAGAAUACAAACGUUACAUAUCAGUUAAGAACUUAAGUUACAAGAAUGAGUAACUUUAAGGGUGUGAACUACGACAGCCCUUGUGAUACUGAUGACGAUUGGACAGAUUCAUCUGACGAUUCGAAAUAUUCUGAUUCCGCAAGUUCUGUACCAGAAUGGGACUCUGAUGUUGAAGAGAAUGGUGAACUGGUAUUUAUAAGAAUUAAAAGAAGAAAAGAAAAAUGUAAUGAAAAUAAACCACCAUUGUUAGAGAACUGUGAAACAUUUAAACUGAGAAAUAAUUUUAAAAGAACCUCAACUAGGCGAUCGACAAAAGGUAAAAUCUUUAAAGUAUUAAAGGGACAAAGCUCAAAAAAUAAAGCACAAAGCAAGAAGAAAGACUUAGAGAAUAUUAGAGCCACAAGUACUGCUACUUUAAACACAAAUGAACUGACAGAAAAUUCUAAAGAAUCUGUAAUAAUUCAGGUAAGCAGGAAUAUGAUUUUCAGCAGUGAAAAGAAUUGUCAAAUAGAAAAGUUGUUUGGUAUUAGUUUGGAAACCCAUUCUGAUGGAAAAUCUUUGAUUGUUGCUGAUUUUUUAACAGAAGCAAUGCCUAUUUAUGGAUCUAAAGUGAAAAAAGGUUACUACUUUACAAAAGUCAAUGGCAUUGAAGUAAAUUCUUAUAAUAUAAAUAACAUCCUCCAAAGAGUUUAUGAGGAACCCAAUAAUCCAAAACUACAGUUUCAAAUGCCUGAGGAGAGCUCUUUAAUAUCAUUAGAACGACUUCUGAAAUCAAAGAAUUUACCAGAAAAUAAGUCAACACAAUUAUUAAAAGAUUUCUCAUGUUCUGUAUUAUACAUUUCCUGCAAUGAUAUAGAAAACACUAGAAAUGAUGAUAAAGGAGUAAUAUACUGUUAUCCAAGGCCUUUCAGUCAAAAUUUUCUGUACAACACAAGAGGUGCUUACCUAACAUUAAACCAUUUAGCACCAAAGUCAUUGGGAACUAGUGAGCCAACAUGUUCAACAGUUCUUCACAAUGACAACUUAAUUCAUGUGAAUUACACAUCCCAUUGUAACGAUUUGCUACUAAUAACAUUUCCAAAUAAAUACAUAGAUGCAUUUUCAUCCAAAAAAGUAAAUGCAGACAUAGUGAAACUAUUGGAAUUUUUGUAUGGAUCAUUGAAAACUUGCUUCACAAAACCUAACAAUGUUGACAGACUGGAUAGUUUAUUCUGUAGAAUUUUUGUUACUUUGCUAUUCAAUAAUGAGCAAGCAAGUGCUUCUGAUGUUCACUUUGAAGAUAUCUUAGCUGCAUAUUCUGUGACCUUGCCAUUAGAAGUAAGAGUGCAAGUUGAUGACGCCAUUACAGAAUUGGAAGCUGCUGAUUAUAGAGAAUGGACAGAUGAUUUUGAAAACUUUCAACGUCUCUACACAGUAAUAGGGUCAUGCCUGUAUUACUCUGGUCAUUUGUUAAGUUCUCAUUUACAAGAUGAAGACUUGAAAGAAAUAAAUGCUUUUUUAAAACUUAACGGAGUAUUGGCAUUAAGUACUGAUAAUGAACUGGAAAAACUUGUUAUGUGGAAGGAAGUUUUUAUUCACGAACAUAGAAAGCAAAGCAAAAAUGAUGGGCAGGACUACAGGAUACCCGAUGGGCGUUGGUUCUUACUCAUAGUUGGCAAGGGGCAUUUCAUUUUAGCUACAUUAAUGGAAGCCGGUGGAUGUACCGAAGACGCUGUUGGUGUUACACCCCCUUCGCCGUUUUACGUAGAAGAAUGCGAGAGCUGCCUCGAACUUUUCUAUGAAGUAAGUCUGGAUAAAUAUCUCGCUUCAUGGUUGUCAUCAAAUACACACCCACAGAUCGAAACAACUCCAGAACGUCUCACUAAAUACGGGAAGAAAAUGAAGGAAAUGAACUCCUUUAGAGCAGACACGCUAAGACCAACACUGAGAACAUCAAAAUCAUCAGCAGAUCUAAAGAAACGCCACAGUUCCUCUGAACAAAUAUACAUGGGGUCCAGUUUGAGUGAUAAUUCUAAUUACGGAAGCCAUCACAACCUUUACAGUCAAUGGUAUCAUGGCACGCAGAAGUACAGACACUCUAGUUUAGAUGUCAGCCAUUCAGAGGACUCGAACAGCCUCAAGAGUAACAGUGAAAUCAGCGACGAUAGAGUCCAAGGUAGAAGAGCGGAUAGAGAACAAAGAAACCGUAGAGAUUCUUCGGGAUCCGAUUCCGAUUGGGACAGACAGGAAAAGCAUGUGUUGACGCUGCUACAAAAUAUUUUAAUUCAUUUAUGCUCUGGAAGAUGGUAGCAGAGCCAGCGGCAGCAUCGACAUGACCGACAUCAGAAAGUCUUUACUGAACGAAAUUAAUCGGGUAACUGUUCACCGUAUCACAACGGGCGAAGAAAAC